GUGUUUCCACUGGAAAUCUUUAUGUUCCACGUAUAAGAUAAUUUCUUUUGUGGAAUUUGUUUCAAAAAUCUCAUUAUCUGUUUUACAUGUUAUUGCGGCAUAAGAAUAUUCAUUAUUAGGUUCAUAAUCUUUAUUUUUAUUCUCAACAGAGGUGGGUUGAAUGGUAGCAUUGCUACUACCCCUAGUUCCAGCAUUGCUGGCAAUGAAAUCUAGAUAUUUUUUAUAAUCUUCAAAAGAAGGUCUUAUAUUGGUAUCACCAUUUGAAGUGAAGAUCCUGCUUCGAUAAAUCUAUUAGGAAUAUGUCCUUCACCAUUUGAGGAUGAAGAUCCUGCUUCGAUAAAUCUAUUAGGAAUAUGCCCCAAUGUCUGAAAUCUAUUCGGAGUAUUUCCUCGACCUCUUCCCGAAAAGAGGCUCUUGGCCAGCUUGGCCUCAUCC
rnacentral:lncRNA from 1 species